rnacentral:tRNA from 1 species
GAUCUGCGAAGCAUCGGGUGAGGCUGCCGCACUGUCCAUGCGGCGAGACGGGUUCGAGUCCCGUGCAGAUCGCCA